CUCCCUUGCUCCUGUCUCAGGAAGGUUUCUUUUCUCACUGUGGAUGUUUCCACUGAAGCAAACUCCUCAGUGUUUGCGCCUUGAUGGUUUGAGGUCAGUUGUGGGAAGCAGCAAAUGUUCCAGGCCUAAAAGAUACAAGGUAACAAACAACAAGAACCUCAGACAGGGAGAGCGAGGAGGUUAAUGACGCAUUCUCAGCGCCUCCUAGGAAUCUGCCUUGCGGACCCGGCUGGAGGGUUGGGGGUGACCAGCCCUCCUGUUUUGCCCUGAGUGAGAGGUUUCCAGGGACACCAGACUUUCAGUCCUGAAGCUGGGAAAGUCCUGGGCAAACCAGCAUGAGUUUAUUAUAGAAUAGUUUUGGAUUUAAAGAAAAAUUGCAACGAUAGAACAGAGAGUUCCCAUAUACCCCGGACCCAGUUUUCCCACUCUUAAUUUAUGAGUAUGGAACAUUGUUCACAAUGAACGGACCAAUAUUGGCACAUUAUUAUUAACUAAAGUCCACACUUGAUUCAGAUUUCCCUUGUUUUUAUCUCGUGUCCUUUUUCUUUUUUUUUUUAAGAUUUUAUUUUUUCCUUUUUCUCCCCAAAGCCCCCCAGUACAUAGUUGUAUAUUCUUCGUUGUGAGUCCUUCUAGUUGUGGCAUGUGGGACGCUGCCUCAGCGUGGUUUGAUGAGCAGUGCCAUGUCCGCGCCCAGGAUUCGAACCAACGAAACACUGGGCCGCCUGCAGCGGAGCGCGUGAACUUAACCACUCGGCCACGGGGCCAGCCCCUCGUGUCCUUUUUCUGUUCCAGGAUUCCACCCAGGACACCACAUUACGGUGAGUUGUGGUGCCGUCCAGCCUCCUCUUGGCCAUGACAGUCUCGCAGACGUUUCUUAUCUUCGGUGACGGUUUGAGUCGCACAGCUCAGGUGGCGUUUGUCCGGUGUCCCUGCCAUCUCCUCCCUCUGUGUUGGGCUCUGUGGAGGACGUCUCUCCACGCAGCCUGCACCUGGGGGCCUGGAGCUGUGCUCCCCGUCCUUCAUCGGGGAGGAGUUACACACACCUCGAGGCUUUGGGACCUGAGCGUAUGGUCACAGGAGAAAAUCGAUUUGGGAGAAUGCCAUGCAGCACCGUCACACGACAAAGGACUGCUUGUGUUGACUGAUGUUUAGGCAUCUCUGAUGUUCAAACGUCAUUUCGUGUCUCUCUCACCAGCCCUGUCCGGCCAUCCCUGGUGGACUUGGGGUGCAAGAACCCCAGUGUUCUCUCUGCUGCCCAAGACGUUUUUAUUCAGAUGAAUUCUGGAUAAAAUGGAAAAGAUCAACGAAGAGGAGGGCUGGGGGAGGGUGGGAUUAGCUGACCCCGCAGCCCAUUGAGGAGGUGGGUGAGGGGCCGUGAUGUGGAGGAUGUCUCUCCUGCCGCCAGAUCCCAGAGCUCCGGGCACCUGGGAGAUCAGGUGCCAAUCCCGCUCUUCCCACUUGCCCUGGGUAGCGCCCCUCUAGAUUCUAGUGCCCAGGGCACAUGCUGCUACUCAGUCUUUUCCAGCAAGCCUGAUGGGCCUCCGAACGCCUCCCGGCCCAGCGCUUCGGGCAGGCACCAUGAGCUCCGCCUCCCUUCCAGGCGUGGCAAUGCCUCGCUGUCAAGAACAAGUUUCUGUUGAGCUUGACAUUCCUCUCUCCUGCUUCUGUGGUUGUGGUCACUGUUUGCAAUUUAGAUGUCUCUGGAAGAUUUUCAAGAGUCUUCUUAAAAUGUGGUUGAGGUGUUAUUGCACAGUGGCCGACCAUGGGCUGGGUUCAGGCACUGAUUUGUUUCUGGCUGAAAUGGUGCUCUGGGUAACGGUUACAGGGUAUUUUGCUAGAGAUUUAGUCCAACUCCUCCGUUUUCCUCAUGAGCGUAGUGUCUGUCCAGAGCCAAGCUCCACCCUACUAACUGGAGUUUGCUGGGGUGAGUGUCACUGCACCAGCAUUCAGAAUUGCAAACGAUGGCGGGAGAUACCAGUGUUUUCCUCAUCAAAUGGCAAAAAUUAAAUAAGCUAGUGACCUACAGCACUGAUGGGGAGUGAAAAACAGGCCUCCUCAUAUAUUGUAGCUAAGAAUGUAAAUUAUUACCAUCUUUGGGAAAAUAG
rnacentral:lncRNA from 1 species